rnacentral:lncRNA from 1 species
AUGAUGUUGCUGUUUUUGGGAGAGAAAUUGGUUUUUGUUAGCUUGAUUACAUGACUUUAAUUGUUUCAUAUUUAGUUUUUGAUUGAUCAAUGUCAAUGCUAUUCUCUAUUGUCAUCAUUUUUGAACGAUUAAAUCGUUGCAAUUCUGUUUAGCAUACUGAAUCAAAUUCAACACCUCAUGCUUCGAACUUUGAAUGUUGCAAUUGUUUGUUUGAUUAUUAGUUAUGAG